rnacentral:rRNA from 1 species
UACGUAGGUGGCAAGCGUUGUCCGGAUUUAUUGGGUUUAAAGGGUGCGUAGGUGGCCGACUAAGUCAGACGUGAAAUCCCUCGGCUUAACCGGGGAACUGCGUCUGAUACUGGACGGCUUGAGUUCGGGAGAGGGAUGCGGAAUUCCAGGUGUAGCGGUGAAAUGCGUAGAUAUCUGGAGGAACACCGGUGGCGAAGGCGGCAUCCUGGACCGACACUGACACUGAGGAGCGAAAGCCAGGGGAGCAAACGGG